GUUUCGCUGGUCAAGAACCCAAGUAAAACACACUUUUAGCUUUUUACUUUUUAUUAUUUUUUCAACUUACUGUGGGGUGUGUGGCGUGUCGGUGUGAGGUGUGUCGUUGCGGCCGGCCGGAAAUGGAGCACUGGGGGGGUUUCCUGCGGGUGUCCUGGGCGUUUGGAGGACCGACGGGCUUGAACGGGAUGACGGGGUACGCGGCACAACCUUCGCGCUUGAUAUUGCCACCGGGGUGGUAUGGUGGACGAUGACCAACGGGCUCAGCGGGGAAUGCCGAGGGCUGCGGGUGAUCACGGAUCGUUCUGGGCGUCGGAGGGUCCUCAAUGCCGGACGGGACUUCAGGCUGUCCAGGCAGGCCACUAGCUGAACGGAAAACGUAGUUCGGGCCUCCUAGGCGGCGGACGGGAUGCCUUACAGGUGUUCACGGGCCACGGGUGGCCACUACCAGGCUGAAUAGGCCUAUGAUAAUGGGUCCUGAGGAAAGUGGGGUUAUACACAGGGCUACUACUGGGCGUCUCACUAAUUGCUGAAUCACUCUUUCAACGGCUGAACCAUACCUGAUUCGAUAAUUCCUGAUUCACAGAUCACUUUCUCUUUCGACUAAAUAUUCAACUAUAACUUUAACUUAAACUCGAUAGAUCAACGGUUAAAUUGAUUUUGGCGGGCGGAUAUUUCUAUUAACGAACUAGUUGCCUCGAGAGGUCAGAGUCGAAAGACUUUGCUCUUGGCUAUCUUCGACCCAGUAGCCUGUCCCCUUUGCCUUUUCCCAAUUUCCCUUUUUCUUUCUUCUUCUGACGUGGAUGUGUCAUGGCGUCCACUUCUCCCCUUUUUGGCUCAUUUUGUGUAUGUGUUGUCUUAGAUCUGUUCAGUGUUGGGUGCAUGUGUGUUAACAAAUUUUGUUCUGAUUUUUAUUAAUUAUCUCUAACAAUUUACUAACUUAUAACAAAUAACAAAAUAACAAUUUUAUAUAAAUUCUACUAACAAAUACUAAACAAUUAACAAAUUUAUUCUCAAAAACAACGUAAUAAACAAAGUUAGCGUUUCUCAACGGUAACACCACCUCCCAUCUCCCUCUAAAAUUAAUUGUAUAAUUUAUUAUCAAUUAAUUUUCAUAAAGUUUACAUAACGAAAUAGCAUAUCAGGUUUGAGUUGCAACUUUCAUGCAUUCGAUUUUCCCAAAAACAGACAUUGUCGCGUGUAUUCACCAGAUAGUUCAUUCCUUACAUGCUCGGAAUGCUAUCUUUACCGCUUCUAAUACCCGAUUCUGUUACUUGGCCUUUUCAUCUUCCAAAUUACCCAAAACAGUGAAGUUUUGUGAAAGAUUACCAACACAUUCUUAGUUCGUGUGAAAUAUCAUGAUGCAAAUCUACCGAAUGGAUACUAUUUAUUGUUGUUUUGAUUUCAAUGUGCAUUUUUGGAUGGGUUUCUUAGAAUUUGGUAUUACGGAGCCGUUAUUUGGAGUCAUAGUGCAGACUUAACGCGUUAAAAAAAUCUGCAAACUGCGGAGAAGAAUUUGAUCACUACUAGUCAUAAUUCAUUGGACAGUUCUAUUCUUCGCACACAAGCCACAAUUCCUCAUAACAACAGACUAUUGACGAGAUGAUAUUCUACUUUUAUCGAACAGAGAUGGACCUACAACAAAAAACAUGUACCUACAUUCAUCUACAUCAACUUCACACUCGCUCUAACAAUUUUAGCUCUUCACAUAUACAAUACGAUCAUGAUCUUGAACAAUACUUUCGACCAACGCGGACAUGGUGAGGACGGCCGAAAUUCUACGCUGCUGGAUUUAGUGGUUUUGUGUUUGCUUCGGGUAAAAACUCGCGAUGCCGCAUUCGGAUUUUGAGAGUUACCUUUGGACUUCGACGACUCUGAUGCUACAACUUCGUGGAGCUGAGCGCUUCUACCACGAGCUGAAUUUUCGUGCGGUCUAUGGAACAUGGUCCAGUUAUUCUCGUCAAUGAUCCGCCCAUACUUCUUCAGUUUGGACAGCGAUCUGACUCCGGCACCAGUCAUGGCGUUCUUAUAUUCAAAACGGAGAUUACGCCAGAUGAUGUUAAAUUUCCUGCGCUCAGAAAUCGACCGAGUCAUCGAGUGAAAAAUCUUCAUAAUGUCGUGAAAAAAAUCAGUAAAUUUUUCCCCUCUUG